AGAUUGAACGCUGGCGGCAUGCCUAACACAUGCAAGUCGAACGGGAGUAGCAAUACUCUAGUGGCGGACGGGUGAGGAAUACGUAGGAAUUUGCCCUUAAGUGGGGGAUAACCCGGGGAAACCCGGAUUAAUACCGCAUGACCUCGAAAGAGCAAAGUGGGGGAUCGCAAGACCUCACGCUUUUGGAGAAGCCUACGUCGGAUUAGCUAGUUGGUGAGGUAAUGGCUCACCAAGGCGACGAUCCGUAACUGGUCUGAGAGGAUGAUCAGUCACACC
rnacentral:rRNA from 1 species